GCCUGGAGAUAUUCUUAAAAACCCUAACAAAACACCAAAACACGGAUGGAAUCCUGUUCCGUUUGCUCUGGGAUGGCCCUUCUGGACCACAGCAGGGCUCUUCCAGCCUGACUCCGUGUGUGAUUCUGGGACUCCGGGGCGGUGGCGCUUCCGGGCAGCGAGCUGCGGUUCCGGGGCAGAGCUGCGGUGCCGGGCACUGAGCGGCGGCUCCGGGGCUUGUGCCGCGGUUCCAGGGUUUGAACGGCGGCUCCGGGGCUCAGCGGCGGUCCUGAGCAGAGCGGCGGUCUCGGGCACUGAGCGGCGGUCCCGGGCAGAGCCCGGCUCCGGCAGCCCAGGCUCCGGGGCCAUGGAGGAGCAGCAGCGGCGGGCGCUGCGGCGCGGGCGGGCCCGGCUGGUGGCGGCGCUGCGGGUGGAGCCGCUCUGGGAUCCGCUGGAGCAGCGCGGGCUCUUCACCCGGCCAAUGCUGGAGGAGCUGCAGAGCGCUGGCAGCCGAGGAGAGCAAGCCCGGCAGCUGAUCAUUGACCUGGAGACUCGAGGGAAGCAGGCUUUCCCUGCCUUCCUCUCUAUCCUGCGGGACACCGGGCAGGGCGACCUUGCCGAGAUGCUGCUCCAGGAGUGCGAAGCCCGGCCGGUGCCAGCGCAGCUGCCCGACCUGCGGCCCGUGGAGCUGGAGCUGCAGGAGGAAAAACAGCGUAAAAAUGUGACCCCUCGUGAACGUUUGUCUAUCCCAGUCCAAGCUGAGAGUGAAAGACCUCGAAUGCCUCCUGUGCCAGCCCGGGGUUCAGCUGUUGACAAGAGGAGCCAUGACCAGGAUUAUGAGAUGAAAGCGGAUCCCUGCGGACACUGCCUGAUCCUCAAUAACGUCAGUUUCUCCAGAGACUCGGGUCUGUCCACCCGAGAAGGCUCUGACAUUGACUGUGAGAAGCUGGAGAGGCGCUUCAAGGCCUUGCGCUUCACCGUCCUGACCCGGCGGGAUCUGAAAGCUCAGGAAAUGGUGUUGGAGCUGCUGAAGCUGUCACGGCAGGACCACAGUGCUUUGGACUGCUGCAUUGUGAUCAUCCUUUCCCAUGGCUGUCAGACGAGCCAUAUUCAAUUUCCUGGAGGUGUUUACGGAACGGAUGGAAAACCCAUUCCCAUAGAAAAGAUUGUGAACUAUUUCAAUGGGUCCAAUUGCCCGAGUUUGAGAGGAAAACCCAAACUGUUCUUCAUCCAGGCCUGUGGUGGAGAACAAAGGGAUCAAGGCUUUGUAGUGGACUGUGAUUCGCCUGAAGAGGAAGCUCCUGGGGGUUUCUUGGAAUCGGACGCGACCCCAUUUCGGGUUUCAUCAGAUAACGUGGAUGAGCCCGAUGCCAUUGCCAGUUUGCCCACACCUAGUGACAUCUUGGUUUCCUACUCAACUUUUCCAGGUUUUGUCUCUUGGAGAGAGAAGUCAAGUGGCUCGUGGUAUGUGGAAACGCUGGACAGUGUGCUGGAGCAAUACGCCCAUUUGGAAGACCUGCUCAGCAUGUUAGUGAGGGUGGCACAUGCUGUCUCUGCCAAGGGGAGGUACAAGCAGAUGCCGGGAUGUUUCAAUUUCCUCCGUAAAAAAUUCUUCUUCAUGUGCCACUGACACGUGGGCUCCGAGCCCCCUGCCAAGCACUGGAGAUUCUUCCUGUGCCUGAAUGAAAUCUGUGCCCACCAUGACUUGGUGUCAGUGCUCCCUGUGGAUUUUGUCUGUGUGUCCAGAUGUUUGUCUGGAGAAAUGUGAUCCGAGAGUGCUGGCUUUGCCAUGGAGUGGAGAUGAGAUGGAGAUUGUGCUGUGCCGAUGGGAAAUCUUGUGGAUGGAGCAGGAAGUCCAUUCGCUGGAGAACAGAGCCAGAGGAGAGCACUUCUGGCUCAGCCUGACAUGACCACACUUGACCUCAGAGUGUUUUUCUUUGCUGAUCAUGAUAUUUGUGUCCUGUGCUGUCCAGCACCUCCUGAAGGCUCCUCUGAAGUGGGAAGAGUAGGAACCUUCACUCAUGUCUGUGCUGCUCUGUGUGGUCAUUUACAAUGUGGCUGUGCCAGCCUAUGGAGCAUCCUGCUCCUUUUGAGGAGUCAUUUGGGAGUUACAGCAGGAAACCAAUGAGGAUUCAUUGAAACAUCAGUGCUGAGGCCGGAGCCGAAGCUGACGAUGCCCUCGACCUCCCAGACCCCGUCAUCGCGCUGGCAGUUCAGGGGGCCUCCAGAAUCGCCCUGUAUGGAGAGACAGUGUGGGCCACUGCUCCUGGGCACCCUGUUGGCACACCCCACAUCCAACACAGCACUGACGUAGACAAGAAAAGAAAGGCCUUAUGAAAUCAGGCCUCACACUGCUAAAACUGCCAAAGCUGACCUGUCAUUUCUUCUAAGUGCAGCUAACAAGUGAUUUGCAAGUUCCCAUGUGAAGCUAUUUUAGGAAUGAGAGGUUUGUUUAACCCAACAAUCUGUUCUGAGGGUGAGAAACAAAUGCACCUCUGUAAACAAUAAGAUCUGUCCCAUGAGAACCCACAAAGGAAAAAUGGAAACAUGUCUAGAGAGAGAAAAUUUGGUAGACAUAUCCAAUAGCGCUUAUCAACCAGUGAACUGAGUUUCACUGUAUUGCUGACCAAUUAGGUUUAAUACAGUGCC